AGGGCUUAUAUCCAAAAUAUACAAAGAACUCAUAACUUAGUAAUAAGAAGACUAAUAAUCUAAUUUUAAAAUGAAGUAAACAUUUGAAUAGACAUUUCACCAAAGAGGAUAUGUAAAUGGCUAAUAAUCACUUGAUAAAAUGCGCAACAUCAUUAGUCAUGAGGGAAGUGCAAGUCAAAACCACAAUAAGAUAGCAUUAACACACCCACUAAGCUAUAACCAAAAAGUCAGACAAUACCUAGUGAUGGAGGAGUUAUGGGAAAACCUUCACAUAUUGCUGAUGAGAAUAUAAAAUAGAACAGCCACAUUGUGAAAUUGUUUGGCAGUUUCUUAAAAAGCUAAAUAGAUUUGCCAUACAACUCAGCGAUUCUACUAAGUAUCUACCCAAGAGAAAUGAAAACAUAUAUUCAUGCAAACACUUGUAUAGAAAUGUUCAUAGCAACAUCAUUCAUAAUAGCCAAAAACUGGAGACAACCCAAAUGUUCAUCAACUGAUGAAUGAAUAAACAAAAUGUAGUUUAUCUAUAUACAAUGGACUAUUAUUCAGCCAUAAAAAGGAAUGAAGUACUGACACAUGCUACAACAUGGGUGAACUUUGAAAACAUUAUGCUAAGUGAAAGAAGCCAGUCACAAAAAACUGUAUAGUGUAUGAUUUCAUUUAUAUGAAAUGACCAGGAAAGGAAAAUUUUUAGAGACAGAAAGCAGAUCAGUAGUUGUCUGAAACUGAAGGUAACAAGUGAGGAUUGACUGCAAAUUCUCUUUUUGU
rnacentral:lncRNA from 1 species